rnacentral:rRNA from 1 species
UACAGAGGUCUCAAGCGUUGUUCGGAUUCAUUGGGCGUAAAGGGGGCGUAGGCGGCGCGGUAAGUCGGGUGUGAAAUCUCGGGGCUUAACUCCGAAACUGCAUUCGAUACUGCCGUGCUUGAGGACUGGAGAGGAGACUGGAAUUUACGGUGUAGCGGUGAAAUGCGCAGAUAUCGGGAAGAACACCCGUGGCGAAGGCGGUUCUCUGGGACGGUACUGACGCUGAGACGCGAAAGCGUGGGGAGCGAACAGG